rnacentral:rRNA from 1 species
GAUGAACGCUGGCGGCGUGCCUAAUACAUGCAAGUCGAGCGAACAGAUAAGGAGCUUGCUCCUUUGAAGUUAGCGGCGGACGGGUGGGUAACACGUGGGUCACCUACCUAUAAGACUGGGAUAACUUCGGGAAACCGGUGCUACUACCGGAUAACACUUAGAACCGCAUGGUUCUAAAGUGAAAGAUGGCUUUGCUAUCACUUUUAGAUGUUCCCGCGCCGUAUUAGCUAGUUGGUAAGGUAACGGCUUACCAAGGCGACGAUACGUAGCCGACCUGAGAGGGUGAUCAGCCACACUGGAACUGAGAUACGGUCCAGACUCCUACGGGAGGCAGCAGUAGGGAAUCUUCCGCAAUGGGCGAAAGCCUGACGGAGCAACGCCGCGUGAGUGAUGAAGGGUUUCGGCUCGUAAAGCUCUGUUAUUAGGGAAGAACAAAUGUGUAAGUAACUGUGCACAUCUUGACGGUACCUAAUCAGAAAGCCACGGCUAACUACGUG